GAUGAAGAACGCAGCGAAAUGCGAUACGUAAUGUGAAUUGCAGAAUUCAGUGAAUCAUCGAAUCUUUGAACGCAUAUUGCGCUCUCUGGUAUUCCGGAGAGCAUGCUUGUUUGAGUAUCAGUAAACACCUCAACUUCCAUAUCUUUUUUGAAAUGGGAGUUGGACUUGAGUGAUCCCAACGCUUUUCCUCACCGAAAAGUGGCGGGUUACUUGAAAUGCAGGUGCAGCUGGACUUUUCUCUGAGCUAUAAGCAUAUCUAUUUAGUCUGCCUAAAAAACAGAUUAUUACCUUUGCUGCAGCUAACAUAAAGGAGAUUAGUUCUUGUGCUGACUGAUGCAGGAUUCACAAAGACAGGCUUCGGCCGACUUUGUAAACUCGAUCUCAAAUCAAGUAAGACUACCCGCUGAACUUAAGCAUAUCAAUAAGCGGAGA
rnacentral:misc_RNA from 1 species